rnacentral:rRNA from 1 species
CACCUACGGGAGGCAGCAGUCGAGAAUAUUCGACAAUGGGCGAAAGCCUGAUCGAGCGACGCCGCGUGCUUGAUGAAGCCCUUCGGGGUGUAAAGAGCUUUUUCCGCUGAGGAAACCGUAAGGUUGACAGUAAGCGGAGAAUAAGGGGCUGCUAAUCACGUGCCAGCAGCCGCGGUAAUACGUGAGCCCCAAGCGUUAUCCGGAUUUAUUGGGCGUAAAAAGUCUGUAGGCGACUUAUUAAGUUUCUCGUUAAAGUUUUAAGGCUCAACCUUAAAAAUGCGAGGAAAACUAAUAAGAUAGAGAAUGUCAGAGGUUGACGGAACGGUCGGUGUAGGGGUGAAAUCCAUUGAUAUCGACCGGAACACCAAAUGCGAAGGCAGUCAACUGGGGCAUUUCUGACGCUGAGAGACGAAAGCGUGGGUAGCAAAAAGGAUUAGAUACCCUUGUAGUCCACGCCCUAAACUAUGGACACUAGCUAUUUGAAGUGUCGACCCUUCAAGUGGCGAAGCUAACGCGUUAAGUGUCCUGCCUGGGAAGUACGGCCGCAAGGCUAAAACUCAAAAGAAUAGACGGGGCUUCACACAAGCGGUGGAG